rnacentral:lncRNA from 1 species
GACCCACGAGAGAAAGGUUUAAAAACAUGGAACAGAAACCAGAAGCAGACAUAUGCAAUGAAAAGCCCAAGAGGAUCAUUGCUAUAGAGCCAAGUAUGUGAAAAUCGUCAGACCUGCAGCACGGAUGCUAACCCAGCACGUCUCCAAGAAGUCCACAUUGAGCUCAGCUCACUGGGAAUCAGACAUAACGCUAAGUUGGUCCUCGCUGUGAACGAGGGGGGUCGGGGCGGUGCCCCCCCCCCAGCACCCCCCCCCCCCGAGCAAGUUACUCUUGCUGUGUUUGCCUCCUUUCUCAAUAGGAACACCAGGCAGACUCCGAUGCUGAACAUUUAUUAUUAAAACAAAUGUUCACAAGCUUCUAUUUAAAGAAUAAGACUCUUGGGUACACUUACACAUAUGUAUGC